rnacentral:rRNA from 1 species
UUACCGAGUUUACAACUCCCAAACCCCUGUGAACAUACCUUAUGUUGCCUCGGCGGAUCAGCCCGCGCCCCGUAAAAAGGGACGGCCCGCCGCAGGAACCCUAAACUCUGUUUUUAGUGGAACUUCUGAGUAUAAAAAACAAAUAAAUCAAAACUUUCAACAACGGAUCUCUUGGUUCUGGCAUCGAUGAAGAACGCAGCAAAAUGCGAUAAGUAAUGUGAAUUGCAGAAUUCAGUGAAUCAUCGAAUCUUUGAACGCACAUUGCGCCCGCCAGUAUUCUGGCGGGCAUGCCUGUUCGAGCGUCAUUUCAACCCUCAAGCCCAGCUUGGUGUUGGGAGCUGCAGUCCUGCUGCACUCCCCAAAUACAUUGGCGGUCACGUCGAGCUUCCAUAGCGUAGUAAUUUACAUAUCGUUACUGGUAAUCGUCGCGGCCACGCCGUUAAACCCCAACUUCUGAAUGUUGACCUCGGAUCAGGUAGGAAUACCCGCUGAACUUAAGCAUA